rnacentral:lncRNA from 1 species
AUGGCUGGAGCGCGGAGCCCCGCCCAACAGGUCAGGGGCAAGAGUUCGCAAUCCUGGGGUCGCGCGGGGCAGCAAGAGCGCCCUGGAGGCGGCAGCCAAGACUCCAGCAGCGGCCGCCGCGAACAGCGCGAGGGCUGCCGACAACUCUCUCGCCUGCCCCCCGCACCCCCAGAAGCCGAGGUCCGAGCAGCCGCCGCUGCUUUGGGUGGGGGGGAGGUGACAGGGCUGCGCGCGCCGCGCUCUUGGCUGGGGCUGCGCGGGCCCGGGGCGCUGCGGGCUGCUCAGCUGCAGCUGCGGCGCUCUGCGCCUCCUCUGGGCGCACUGCCUGGGAGCACAAGACGGGCUUGUCUGAUGCUGCCGCGGGAGCUGAGGUCUUGCCUGGAGAUCCGAAUGAGACACCACGUCAACCGGCGCGGGGAGUCCCGUGAAGACAUGAGGGCGCCAGGAGCGCAGGCUGGUCUUCUAGAGCCGGGGCUGGGGGGCCGGGAGCCGGGGUGGGGGAGGGGAGGUGCAGGGCCCCCGGGAGGGAGGGGUCGGGAGGCGUCGGCUGGGCCGGGCUGUGGGGGAGGAGAGGCGAGCAGCAAGGAGGCGCUGGAGUUCCCGAGGCGGGGGUCCGGGGUGCGAGUGGGCUACGCGAGGCGCCCCUCCCUGGGCUGCAGGGAGAGCGCUGAGAGCGUGGAGACGCCGCGGGGCUUGCGCCUUCUCCUCCGGGUGGAUCAAAAAUCGGCAGGAAUGUGCGCCGCUCUGCGCGGGCCAGCCGAAGGGGGCAAUCCGAACUUGACCGCGGCGCCCGCGCCGGGCUUCGCCCCCGCGCGCCGCACUGGGAGGGAGGCGCUUUGCCGGUGCAGAGCCGCGCCGGGCUUUCCUCGCGCCUGUCGAAGGCCGGCCUUCCCGCUCGGUUGUCUCGUCCUCUCGCUUCUCCGCAGGGCAGGAGGCAGCGGCGAGAAAAGGAGCUGCCGGGCAGCUGGAGUUCUAGCACCGAGAAGGAGAGAUGCGGAGCGGCCGGGUGAGGGAAGCCGAGUGUUUGCCAGGAGACGCUGCGAGUGGGGAUGA